rnacentral:rRNA from 1 species
AACGAACGCUGGCGGCGUGCCUAACACAUGCAAGUCGUGCGAGAAAGUUUCCUUCGGGAGGCGAGUAAAGCGGCGCACGGGUGAGUAACACGUAGGUAACCUACCUUUCAGUCCGGAAUAACCAGCUGAAAAGCUGGCUAAUGCCGGGUAAGACCACGAUCUCUGCGGAGAUCGCGGCCAAAGGCGGCCUCUUCAUGAAAGCUGAUGCUGAUAGAUGGGCCUGCGCACCAUUAGCUAGUUGGCGAGGUAACGGCUCACCAAGGCUUUGAUGGUUAGCUGGUCUGAGAGGAUGACCAGCCACACUGGGACUGAGACACGGCCCAGACUCCUACGGGAGGCUG